rnacentral:rRNA from 1 species
GACGAACGCUGGCGGCGUGCCUAAUACAUGCAAGUCGAGCGAAUCAAUAGGAGCUUGCUCCUGUUGGUUAGCGGCGGACGGGUGAGUAACACGUGGGCAACCUGCCUGUAAGACUGGGAUAACACCGGGAAACCGGUGCUAAUACCGGAUAAUCCUUUUCCUCCCAUGAGGGACAGUUGAAAGUCGGUUUCGGCUGACACUUACAGAUGGGCCCGCGGCGAAUUAGCUAGUUGGUGAGGUAACGGCUCACCAAGGCGACGAUGCGUAGCCGACCUGAGAGGGUGAUCGGCCACACUGGGACUGAGACACGGCCCAGACUCCUACGGGAGGCAGCAGUAGGGAAUCUUCCACAAUGGACGAAAGUCUGAUGGAGCAACGCCGCGUGAGCGAUGAAGGCCUUCGGGUCGUAAAGCUCUGUUGUUAGGGAAGAACAAGUACCGGAGUAACUGCCGGUACCUUGACGGUACCUAACCAGAAAGCCACGGCUAACUACGUGCCAGCAGCCGCUGUAA